UUGCUUUCUUUGCUGGCGACCGGCGCACGGGUGAGUAACACGUAUCCAACCUGCCCUUUACUCGGGGAUAGCCUUUCGAAAGAAAGAUUAAUACCCGAUAGUAUAAUGAUUCCGCAUGGUUUCAUUAUUAAAGGAUUCCGGUAAAGGAUGGGGAUGCGUUCCAUUAGGUUGUUGGUGAGGUAACGGCCCACCAAGCCUUCGAUGGAUAGGGGUUCUGAGAGGAAGGUCCCCCACAUUGGAACUGAGACACGGUCCAA
rnacentral:rRNA from 1 species